rnacentral:rRNA from 1 species
GAGCACUGUUUCGGCUAGGGGGCCAUCCCGGCUUACCAACCCGAUGCAAACUGCGAAUACCGGAGAAUGUUAUCACGGGAGACACACGGCGGGUGCUAACGUCCGUCGUGAAGAGGGAAACAACCCAGACCGCCAGCUAAGGUCCCAAAGUCAUGGUUAAGUGGGAAACGAUGUGGGAAGGCCCAGACAGCCAGGAUGUUGGCUUAGAAGCAGCCAUCAUUUAAAGAAAGCGUAAUAGCUCACUGGUCGAGUCGGCCUGCGCGGAAGAUGUAACGGGGCUAAACCAUGCACCGAAGCUGCGGCAGCGACGCUGAUGCGUUGUUGGGUAGGGGAGCGUUCUGUAAGCCUGCGAAGGUGGCCUGUGAGGGUUGCUGGAGGUAUCAGAAGUGCGAAUGCUGACAUAAGUAACGAUAAAGCGGGUGAAAAGCCCGCUCGCCGGAAGACCAAGGGUUCCUGUCCAACGUUAAUCGGGGCAGGGUGAGUCGACCCCUAAGGCGAGGCCGAAAGGCGUAGUCGAUGGGAAACGGGUUAAUAUUCCCGUACUUGGUGUUACUGCGAAGGGGGGACGGAGAAGGCUAUGUUGGCCGGGCGACGGUUGUCCCGGUUUAAGCGUGUAGGUGUGUGUUCCAGGUAAAUCCGGUUCACUUUAACACUGAGGCGUGAUGACGAGGCACUACGGUGCUGAAGCAACAAAUGCCCUGCUUCCAGGAAAAGCCUCUAAGCAUCAGGUAACAUCAAAUCGUACCCCAAACCGACACAGGUGGUCAGGUAGAGAAUACCAAGGCGCUUGAGAGAACUCGGGUGAAGGAACUAGGCAAAAUGGUGCCGUAACUUCGGGAGAAGGCACGCUGACACGUAGGUGAAGUGAUUUACUCAUGGAGCUGAAGUCAGUCGAAGAUACCAGCUGGCUGCAACUGUUUAUUAAAAACACAGCACUGUGCAAACACGAAAGUGGACGUAUACGGUGUGACGCCUGCCCGGUGCCGGAAGGUUAAUUGAUGGGGUC